GUGUUUCGUGGGGAUAUAGAAGACACAUUAACUACUAUACACAACAUGUCUGCUGCCAGGGCUACACGGGGACUAACUGUGAGACGCCGAUAUGCGACCCGCCUUGCAAGAACGGUGGAACAUGUGUAGCACCCAACAAGUGCCAGUGUCAUGAUAUAGUGGGUGGAGCCUCUUGUGAAAAGGCUGUGACAUGUUCGCAUCUAAGACCUUGUUAUCCGGGUUCCUGCCUCAAUGACACCUGCUCCUGUGACCAAGGCUUCAGCGGAUCAUCAUGUCUUCAAA